rnacentral:rRNA from 1 species
GACGAACGCUGGCGGCGUGCUUAACACAUGCAAGUCGAACGGAAAGGCCCUGCUUUUGUGGGGUGCUCGAGUGGCGAACGGGUGAGUAUCACGUGAGUAACCUCCCCUUGACUUUGGGAUAACUUCAGGAAACUGGGGCUAAUAUCGGAUAGGCGCUCCUGCUGCAUGGUGGGGGCUGGAAAGUUUCGUCGGUUGGGGAUGGACUCGCGGCUUAUCAGCGUGUUGGUGGGGGAGUGGCUUACCAAGGCUUUGACGGGUAGCCGGCCUGAGAGGGUGACCGGCCACACUGGGACUGAGAUACGGCCCAGACUCCUACGGGAGGCAGCAGUGGGGAAUAUUGCACAAUGGGCGGAAGCCUGAUGCAGCAACGCCGCGUGAGGGAUGACGGCCUUCGGGUUGUAAACCGCUUUCAGCAGGGAAGAAGCGAGAGUGACGGUAAUGGGAAAAGAAGCACCGGCUAACUACGUG